CCUACGGGUGGCAGCAGUGGGGGAUAUUGGACAAUGGGGGGAACCCUGAUCCAGCGACGCCGCGUGAGUGAAGAAGUAUCUCGGUAUGUAAAGCUCUAUCAGCAGGGAAGAAGAAAUGACGGUGCCUGAGUAAGAAGCCCCGGCUAACUACGUGCCAGCAGCCGCGGUCAUACGUAGGGGGCAGGCGUUAUCCGGAAUUACUGGGUUUAAAGGGAGCGUAGACGGUGAUGUAAGUCUGGAGUGAAAUGCGCGAGCGCAACCCCCGAACUGAUCUGAAAACUAUGUGACUGGAGUGCAGGAGAGGUAGGCGGAAUGUCUGGUGUAGCGGGGAAAUGCGUAGAGAUUAGGAGGAACA
rnacentral:rRNA from 1 species